rnacentral:rRNA from 1 species
CGGCAGCACGGGGGCAACCCUGGUGGCGAGUGGCGAACGGGUGAGUAAUACAUCGGAACGUGUCCUGUAGUGGGGGAUAGCCCGGCGAAAGCCGGAUUAAUACCGCAUACGCUCUACGGAGGAAAGGGGGGGAUCUUAGGACCUCUCGCUACAGGGGCGGCCGAUGGCAGAUUAGCUAGUUGGUGGGGUAAAGGCCUACCAAGGCGACGAUCUGUAGCUGGUCUGAGAGGACGACCAGCCACACUGGGACUGAGACACGGCCCAGACUCCUACGGGAGGCAGCAGUGGGGAAUUUUGGACAAUGGGCGCAAGCCUGAUCCAGCAAUGCCGCGUGUGUGAAGAAGGCCUUCGGGUUGUAAAGCACUUUUGUCCGGAAAGAAAACUUCUGCCCUAAUACGGCGGGAGGAUGACGGUACCGGAAGAAUAAGCACCGGCUAACUACGUGCCAGCAGCCGCGGUAAUACGUAGGGUGCAAGCGUUAAUCGGAAUUACUGGGCGUAAAGCGUGCGCAGGCGGUUCGCUAAGACAGAUGUGAAAUCCCCGGGCUUAACCUGGGAACUGCAUUUGUGACUGGCGGGCUAGAGUAUGGCAGAGGGGGGUAGAAUUCCACGUGUAGCAGUGAAAUGCGUAGAGAUGUGGAGGAAUACCGAUGGCGAA